rnacentral:rRNA from 1 species
UUCUGGCUCAGGAUGAACGCUAGCUACAGGCUUAACACAUGCAAGUCGAGGGGCAGCAUUGGAGUAGCAAUACUCAGAUGGCGACCGGCGCACGGGUGAGUAACACGUAUCCAACCUGCCGCUUACUCGGGGAUAGCCUUUCGAAAGAAAGAUUAAUACCCGAUGGUAUAAAGAGUUCGCAUGUUCUCUUUAUUAAAGAAUUUCGGUAAGCGAUGGGGAUGCGUUCCAUUAGAUAGUUGGCGGGGUAACGGCCCACCAAGUCUACGAUGGAUAGGGGUUCUGAGAGGAAGGUCCCCCACAUUGGAACUGAGACACGGUCCAAACUCCUACGGGAGGCAGCAGUGAGGAAUAUUGGUCAAUGGACGAGAGUCUGAACCAGCCAAAGUAGCGUGAAGGAUGACUGCCCUAUGGGUUGUAAACUUCUUUUAUAAGGGAAUAAAGUGAGGGACGUGUCCCUUUUUGUAUGUACCUUAUGAAUAAGGAUCGGCUAACUCCGUGCCAGCCGCCGC